GAUGAACGCUGGCGGCGUGCCUAAUACAUGCAAGUCGAGCGAACAGACGAGGAGCUUGCUCCUCUGACGUUAGCGGCGGACGGGUGAGUAACACGUGGAUAACCUACCUAUAAGACUGGGAUAACUUCGGGAAACCGGAGCUAAUACCGGGUAAUAUAUUGAACCGCAUGGUUCAAUAGUGAAAGACGGUUUUGCUGUCACUUAUAGAUGGAUCCGCGCCGCAUUAGCUAGUUGGUAAGGUAACGGCUUACCAAGGCAACGAUGCGUAGCCGACCUGAGAGGGUGAUCGGCCACUCGUGAGCUGAGACACGGUCCAGACUCUUACGGGAGGCAGCAGUAGGGAUUCUGCCGCAAUGGGCGAAAGCCUGACGGAGCAACGCCGCGUGAGUGAUGAAGGCCUUCGGAUCGUAAAACUCUGUUAUUAGGGAAGAACAAAUGUGUAAGUAACUAUGCACGUCUGGACGGUACCUAAGCAGAAAGCCACGGCUAACUACGU
rnacentral:rRNA from 1 species